GAUGUCCCACGGUCCCGUCUUGGCAGAUGCAGACGGCAGCAGUCUCCAUCAAUUAAAAGGUCUGCAGUGAUCCCCCACUUGGCCCUACGUCUUCAUUACCUCAGCACCACAAUGACGUGUACAACCAGACCACACUGGCUAUGAUGUUCUGCUUAGCAGUGGGUUCAGAGCAAUGGAGUCUGCCGACCAUGAAGUCAACUGCUGAAACUGGAACAGUUUCCUCUACCACAUGUUCCUGCCAUGAUGUACUGCUUCACCACAGAUCCUAAAU